rnacentral:rRNA from 1 species
UGAACGCUGGCGGUAGGCCUAACACAUGCAAAUCGCACGGCAGCACAGUAAGAGCUUGCUCUUACGGGUGGCGAGUGGCGGACGGGUGAGGAAUACAUCGGAAUCUACUUUUUCGUGGGGGAUAACGUAGGGAAACUUACGCUAAUACCGCAUACGACCUACGGGUGAAAGCAGGGGAUCUUCGGACCUUGCGCGAUUGAAUGAGCCGAUGUCGGAUUAGCUAGUUGGCGGGGUAAAGGCCCACCAAGGCGACGAUCCGUAGCUGGUCUGAGAGGAUGAUCAGCCACACUGGAACUGAGACACGGUCCAGACUCCUACGGGAGGCAGCAGUGGGGAAUAUUGGACAAUGGGCGCAAGCCUGAUCCAGCCAUACCGCGUGGGUGAAGAAGGCCUUCGGGUUGUAAAGCCCUUUUGUUGGGAAGGAAAAGCAGCAGGUUAAUACCCCGCUGUUCUGACGGUACCCAAAGAAUAAGCACCGGCUAACUUCGUG